CUUGAGGAAGAUGUUUUUGACUAUUCGUGAUGAACAGAUUCUCAUUUUCUCGGAAAGUGUAAGAAACAAGUGCAAUUUCCCUUUGCCUAAUCUAAAGCAUCUCAAGGUGAAGGUAGCUAGAUGAAAAAAUUUGAUUCCCCAAGGGCAUAUUCAUCAUCGUUUUCUCACUCUCCUGAAGUUGGGGGUCUUGCGACUGAAAGAAACCAGACAUGUUGGCGCUCUGGAAAUUUUUUAAACCACAUGUCGUAUUUUUUCUGCUACAACAGAGUUUCAGCUUUCCAUUUCUUCUUUUCUUUUUUCAUUCUGUCCCUUUUUGUCUCUUAUUCCUUACCCAUUAUCAGUUCUGCAAACUAAUAACCAGUAACACUCUCUUUUUUUCUUUUUUUUGGCUCUAAAAAUGCAAUGUCAAACAAAAUUUAACCACAAAUAAUGUUGGGUGUAUAUAUAUAUAUAUAUAUAUAUGUAUAGGUGUGUCUCUGUAUAUUUAUAUAUAUAUAUAUGUAUAUGUACAGCUACGUAGACUUCAUUAUGAAAAUCUAGUUCAGUUUCGAGAAGAGUGGGGGAUUUAGCAAAAGCUUUGGGGCGUUGACUAGUGUUUCACUACAUUUCAUUUACUUUAUUUUUCUUAGCCUUGCCUUACUUUCAGUUAGUCAUAAUGAUCUUGUAUCUGUCUGAGGAUAUAUUUUGAAUUGUAUUUCUUUUAAAUUUCAGGGGAGUUUCUUUCUGGUCAUUUUCUAAAUAAAAGGUGUAAUUGAUACAAUUAGUGUUAGAUGGUAGGGUUCUAUAUAUGUACACAUUCUAAUUAAAGAAGUGGACAAUCGUCUCAGAAUUUUAUA